rnacentral:lncRNA from 1 species
AUAUAAUGGAUCACUUAGAUUAAUUAUAUUACACUAAUUUAUUAUUAAUCAAAAAAAAUUUUAAAUUAAAGUAUAAAGAGGUAAUAAUUAAACAGGGAACCUAUGUAUGUGGGUUUGUAAGUGUGGAUAUAUUUGUAUAAACACGUAGGAAUAUUAAAAUAUAUAUAUAUAUAUAUAUAUAUAUAUAUAUAUAUCAUUUUAAAUAGCUUUCAAAUUGCCUAAAAUAUUGAAUAUAUAAAAAAAUUAAAUUUUUAUUACACAAAUAGUAAUAAUAAAUAAUAUAGUAUAUACAUAUAUAUGUGUAAACAUUAGUAUUCCUUUUUUUUUUUUAGCAUUUGGCAUUUAUUAUUUAAUAUAUAGCUAAUAAUUGAGUUUAAUUUGCUUAAUAGCAUAGUUGAAUAAGUAUUUACACAAAACUUAUAAAAAACAUUUACAUAUCGGUAUGUUUUAAAUGUGUGUAUAAAUAUAUUUAAAAACUGCUAGGAAAGUUUUGUUUUAUUAAAAUAUAUUUUAAAAAAAUAAAAAUAACAUACAUUUUUCAUUUAAUAAAAAAUUAAAAAUAAAAAAAAUAUGUAAAUGCUAAAACCACAUACAUAUAAUUAAAAUAUUAAUCAGUUAAUAUAUUAAUAAAUUUCAGAAUUAAAAAAAUUAUGUUUAAAUGUAAUCAUUUAUGUAUCUUUUUUUUUUUUUUUUUUUUUUUUUUUUUUUUUUUUUUUUUUUUUUUUUUUUUUUUUUUUUUUUUUUUUUUUUUUUUCCAACCUCGUAUCUUCAAAAUGAAUACUAAAAGUAGUAAAAUUAGUCAACAAGAACAAUCAGAAACGUUGUCGCUUAUAAAGAAGCAAUUUUUCAAAACUAAGAUGUGCCCUUUUCAAAAAAAUAAGAAUUAUUGUUUAAAUGAGUUGAAUUGUCAUUAUGCUCAUAGUCUUGAUGAAUUAAAGCCAAUGCCAGAUUUGAGAAACACGAAAUUAUGUGAUUAUGUAAAAAAAAAAUUACCUUGCAAAGACCCCAAUUGUAAAUUUGCCCACGAUAUUGAUACUUUAAAACCUAGUAUACAUUUAGCAACGUACAAAUCUACUAUAUGUAGUUUUUGGGGUAAGGGUAAAUGUUUUAAUGGUGAUAAAUGUAGAUUUGCACAUGGU